rnacentral:rRNA from 1 species
AUUGAACGCUGGCGGCAGGCCUAACACAUGCAAGUCGAGCGGAUGAGGGGAGCUUGCUCCUGGAUUCAGCGUCGGACGGGUGUGUAAUGCCUAGGAAUCUGCUUGGUAGUGGGGGAGAACGUCCUGAAACGGGCGCUAAUACCGCAUACGUCCUGAGGGAGAAAGAUGGGGAGCUUCGGACCUCACGCUCGCAGAUGGGCCUAGGUCGGAUUAGCUAGUUGGUGGGGUAAAGGCCUACCAAGGCGACGAUCCGUUACUGGUCUGAGAGAAUGAUCAGUCACACUAGAACUGAGACAGGGACCAGACGCCUGCGGGACGCACCAGUGGCGAAUAUUGGACAGUAGGCGGAAGCAUGGUACAGCCAUGCCGCGUGUGUGACGAAGGCCUUCGGAGUGUAAAGCACGUUAAGGUGGGAGAAACGGCAGUAAGUUAAUACCUUGCUGUAUUGACGUUACCAGCAGAAUAAGCACCGGCUAACUUCGUG